GUUAGAUGUAAAGCAUUAUAUAAUAUAAAAAAAUUAACUGGAUUUAUUCAGAUGGACAAAUAUAUAUCGAUUUUAUCGAAUAAAAUUCUAGAUAACAUAUUGAUUAUGACAAUUAGUAUCUAUAUGUCUUGACCAAAUUACGUGCCAGCAGUCGCGGUAAUACGUAGAAGACUAGUGUUAUUCAUCUUUAGUAGGUUUAAAGGGUACCUAGACGGUAAAAUUAGUCCAAACCUGGAUACAGUUUUACUAGAGUUAGAUAUGAGAAGGUGAGUAUUUAAGGAGUAGAGUUGAAAUUCUUUGAUACCUUAACGACUGGUAACGGCGAAAGCAACCUUUUAUGUAAUAACUGACGUUGAGGGACGAAGGCUUGGGUAGCGAACAGGAUUAGAUACCCUAGUAGUCCUAGCGGAAAAUUAUGAAUGCCAUAGAUUAGAAUUCCGUUUUAGUUUAUAAAUGAAAGUGUAAGCAUUUCACCUCAAGAGUAAUGUGGCAACACAGGAACUGAAAUCAUUAGACCGUAUCUGAAACCAGUAGUGAAGUAUGUUAUUUAAUUCGUCGUUACGCGAAAAACCUUACCACAAUUUGAAUAUUAUCAUAUAAGAUAAUACAAGCGUUGCACGGCUGUCUUCAGUUAAUGUCGUGAUUAUCAUGGUUAAUUCCUUUAACUUCACGCAUGCCCUCGCUUCAUUUGUUAUUAUAGCCUGUAUUUUAAAAAUAUGUGCAGAUAAUCAAUUCCUUUCCCCUGUGUA
rnacentral:rRNA from 1 species